UCCCUGAUAAGAAGGGCGAAAGGGACAAAAACAAAACGGGGACAAACAUUUCCCAGUAUACAAUAUGUAAAUAAGUGAAUUAAGAAGACUUGGUUACUUCCGGCUUUCACUGUUAUAUAAUGUAGAAUAUAUCUUUUAUUUCAGCUUAUGCAGUUGGCUUCUUAAUAACCUUUGUUGCACUCUAUCUCAUGGGCAAGGGCCAACCGGCUUUAUUGUAUCUUGUGCCUUGUACUCUUGGUACGACAUUUGUGAUUGGCUGUUUACGAGGAGAGGCCCGUUCCCUCUGGGCUGGUAUUUCUAAGCAGCGAAAUACUGCGAAACCUCAAAGUGAAAUCAACACAGGGACACCUGUUACAACAGCCAAGUCAGCGGACCAGAGCAGCAGUGACGGUUCUUCUGACGGAGGGAGUGAGAGCAGACUGUUGAUAAACACCAGGAAAUAACAAUACAGGAGUGGUUCAAUGAAAAAUAAAAGAUAUUUUGUAGGAUAUACGGUGUUAAGGUGUGCUAUGUGUAGAAUUUCAAUAUAUAUCUUUGUUGACUGACUACAGAACACUAUACCGGAUUCUUCCAAUUAUUUCCCUAACAAUGAUAAAAUGGGCGCUUGAUAACUACAUGUAUAUAUUUUACGUGAUUUGAAACAGUCGUACGUAUGAUAUACAUGUGUGUAGUUACUGUAAUAUUGUUUUACUGUAGACAUACUUUUUUCCGCGUGGUAUUAAUUUACGCUAUGAACGCGGUAACUGAUUUUCCGCGGAAAUUUGUCACAGCGUACUUUGUAAUCAUACAAAGAAUCCGCGUAAUCUUUUACCCGUGGAUUAAACUGAUAUUGUGAUUUCGCGUAAUUAUGAACCCGUGGAAAAAAGUACGUUUACAGUAUUUGGAAAUACAUUUAGUAACAUAAUUUUUGUUUGUUUUCAGUGGAACUUAUUUUCUGUUUUGGCCGGUGUGUAAUAAAAUUACAGGACGAUUGUGAAAUAUAUUCCGAUAAAUUUGAUAAACUGAU